rnacentral:rRNA from 1 species
AUUGAACGCUGGCGGCAGGCCUAACACAUGCAAUCGAGCGGGGUUUUCGGACCUAGCGGCGGACGGGUGAGUAAUGCGUAGGAAGCUGCCCGAUAGAGGGGGGAUACCAGUUGGAAACGACUGUUAAUACCGCAUAAUGUCUACGGACCAAAGUGUGGGACCUUCGGGCCACAUGCUAUCGGAUGCGCCUACGUGGGAUU